GACUAUGUGAUUCACAGAUCCACAGUCAUGGAAAGGGUAAAUAGGCGAUUUAGGCAGUAGACGCGGUGGGGUUCCUAUUCAGAAAUAGGACACAGCCUUGGCUGCACUCCUACUUCGCUCCCCUUUCAAUCACUCUUUAACGACCGCGCAGCACACCUCAUUUCAAGUUGCGAACGCACGAUUCGCAUCUGGAAUACGCCUCGGGUCCACGCCUACGGACCAAUUCCCCCCUCCACCAACCUGCGUGCCCGAAAAACGCCACGGUCCGGUCUAGGCCAGACUGUCUCGUACGCGGAGGCACAUUUCUCUCUCUCGUGUUAUAGAAAUUUGAGGCUAGAGUCGUGUGUGAGAUUUGCAUUCAGCAGCGUAAUAGUUAAAGCGGUACCGAAUGCGUUGUUUUAUGUUCUGUGUGGUGCCCUCACUCCAGCAGACCGCUACAGUAGGAAGAUGGCGUCGGAGGGAGCGAGCGGGGAGCAGCCUCCUCCGGUACAAACACUGGCAACCACAGUGCUUGGAAGUGUCGAAGCGAAAUGUGAGUUUAACAUGGAUAAUCUGAGCAAGCCGGAGCUCUUGACACUGCUCAGCAUCAUGGAGGGAGAGCUGGAGGCCCGGGACCUGGUCAUAGAAGCCCUGAGGGCGCGGCGGAAGGAGGUGUUCCUGCAGGAGCGUUACGGCCACUUCAGUCUGACCGACCCCUUCCUGGCCCUGCAGAGGGACUUUGACUGUGUCCCGGGGGGGGACAAGGAGCGCCGGCCUGUGGGCUCCAGUCCCAUCGCAGUCCUGGAGGCUGUCAUGGCCCACUGCAGGAAGAUGCAGGAGAGGAUGUCAGCUGAACUGGAAGCUGCCGAGAGCAGGCAAAAGAGGCUGCAGCUGGAGAAACUGCAACUGCAGAGUCUGGAGCAAGAGCACCGUAAACUAACCGCCCAGCUGAAGGACGAGCGGGAGAAGAACAAGCACAUCGUGAUGAUGCUGGUGCGGGAGUGCAAGCAGCUGGCCACGCGCGUGGUGGAGGAGUCGCAGCGCUUCGACGAGAUCUCCGCCCGGCUGGACGACGAGGGCCGCUCGGCCGGGCGGCUGCAGGAGGAGCUGACGGCAGAGAGGCAACGCGGACAACAGCUGGAGGCCAAGAUGGAGAAGCAACUGUCAGAGUUGGACACGGAGCGUGAGCAGCUGCGUGCCAGGCUGGGCCGAGAGGAGACUGAGAGCCUGAGCCUGCGCCGGCUGGUAGAGCAGCUCAGGACUGAACGGGACGGUCAAGAUGUUGAAGACUGUAAGGAUGAUAGAAAGGUCUCGGCCCAACUGGGUGCUGCUGCCGUGGAUCCCACUGCUGCCACCAACACGCCACCGCCCAAACCUACGGUCUCUGUUGCCGUGGCCACAGACCCCGUCAUAUCCCGGACGGCCUCCUGCCAAACAGAUCUGUCCCCUCCAGAGGCCGAGGGGCAGAAGAAGCCAAGCCCCCUCACCAUCCCUGUCAAACCCACUCCCACCAACUACGCGGGCCUCAGCCUGCCCAAGACGCCCAGCGCAGGCCGGGGGCUGGUCCAUAGUAGCGCAGGGGGACUUCCUCAAAUGGGGGAGAACGGAGCAGAGGGCCAGACGCCCCACGGGGGACUUCACUCCCCAGCCCCCACUCCAGCGCUGCCCACGGGGGUGAGCCCUCGCGUCCAGGCUGCCCGCUACAAGUUCCAGGAGCAGGACCAAAACGGCACGGCCUCCCACAGCAGCCCACCGUCCCGCGACCUCUCCCCCACCAACCGCGACAAUUUUGCCGCCAAGCAGCAGGCGCGCCACACCGUGACACAGGUCCUCUCACGUUUCACCAGCCCCCCAGCAGGGGGCCCCAGCGCCCUCCGUCCCGGCCUGCCCCACUCCACCUCGGAGGGAGGCCCCUUCCCCGGCCGACUGGGCCACCCCAUCGGCCUCAAGUCCCCCACCGUGGCCAGGAUCGACCGGGGCAACCCGCCCCCCAUCCCGCCCAAAAAGCCGGGCCUCUCCCAGACCCCAUCCCCUCCUCACCCACCCAUCAAAGUGGUGGGGGACGGCAGCCGCUCCCCCGGGGUGGGGUUAAAACCCGCCACGCCCCAGCUGCCGCCCAAACCCGCCCUGGACCUGGUCCCAGCCCUGACAGCGUCUCAGGUGGGUGCCUGCCCCCCCGUGAGGGGGCCGCACCAGGCCGCAUGUGCAGAGUGCCCCCCCACCAGCGCUGGCAUCACUGUCAGUAGCCCCUCCAUAAACCCCUCCUCCUCCGCUAGCGCUCCAUCCCGUAGCCCCCGUGCCCCAGGCAGCCCCCUGGCAACAGCAUCAGGCUGGUGUCCCUCCAUAGUCCCCUCGCUAACCUGCGGUGGGCCCGUUGCCCUGGACGACGGGCGCCCCCUGCUCCUCCAAGCUGCUUCCCAGGGAAAUGUCACUUUAUUGUCAAUGCUGCUUAACCAAGAUCCAACGGAUAAUAUUAGUCACCUUGAAGACCACCCAACCUCUGCCUUGUUUUCUGCUGCUCAGACCGGACACACAGACUGUGUUAAGCUGCUGCUGACUUCAGGGGCGUCUGCUGAUGUUUCUGAUGAAAACGGAUUUACACCUUUACACUUUGCCGCCGCGUUCGGACACCACAGGUGUGUGGAGGCCCUGGUGUCUGGUGGGGCUGAUGUGGAUCAUGGGGCUGUGGGUGGACAGACCCCUCUGUUCGUGGCCAGCGGAGCUGGCAGGCUGGACUGUACCAGAGCCCUGCUCAACGCCGGCGCAGACCGUUCACGAUCCACCACCGACAGCUGCACGGCUCUCCACGCAGCGGUUAGCUCGGGACAUGUGGACACUCUGCGGCUUCUCCUCUGCCACCCUCCCCCUGACCACACACACCAUGACCCUGACCACAACCAUAGCUCUGACCGUAGCCCUAGUCCUGCCACGGUCCCGAUCCUAUCCAGCACCUUGCUGAACCAGGCAAACUGUGAGGGCUGGACCGCUGCACACAUCGCUGCUGCCAGGGGCUUCAAGGACUGCCUGGAGGUGCUGUGUAGCCACAGUGACCAGGACAUAGAGAGGAGGGACAAGUGGAACCGCACCAUCCAUGACGUUGCCACCGACGACUGCAAAGACUUACUAGAGAACCUAUACUCCUACAGGGUGUUAGUGUGUGUCCAGUCCAGUGGCUCAGGAGAGCCCAUGUGUCCAGUGGAGGUGUUGAAGGAUGGGGUGUGUGUGAGUGUGCUGGGGGGUGUGUGUAUUCACCGGGCUACGCGCUGGGCCGAGCUGAACUACGCCCUGGGCCAAGCCUUGACCUCUCACCUCCAGCUGCUCUGUGGCGACACCAACACACACACACACCAACACACAAACCAGCCCACCAGAGAUGACACACACCAACACACACACCUGGGACUGACCCCAGCUAGCAUGGCCUCCAUCCUCAUAGGUGACACUGUGUGGUUGCCAGGUCAGGAGCUGCCUGUGUCUCCAUGGGACCUGGUCAGGAAGCCACUGAGCCAGAACAUCACCAUCAGACUCAAAGGUCUGUCGGAGUCGUGUCUGGAUGAGCUGGCCCUGGAAUCUCUUAUCCCCCUUCAGCUGCUGCAGAACUACGUCCGCCUGGUGGAACAGUACCGUAACAUUAUCUUCCACGGGCUGGAGGGGAGCUGUCAGGAGUACUUAGCCAAUCAGAUCUCCCGCUGCAUCAAGACCAAGCAGGAAGUGUUGGGUGUGGCCUGUGACAUCAUCAGGGUGGAGGUAGACAGGAGUCUGACUAAACAACAGCUGUUGGACACCUUCAUAACUUGUGGUUUCCUGGUCCCAGUAGGUGGUGUCUCUCUGUGUAGCAGUACUAAUAGGGUGGGGCGGUGUGUGGUGGUGGUGUUGGAGGGACUAGAGAAGGCCCACUCUCUGACUGAGCUGCUGGGAGACCUGUGUGAAGGCCUGGAGAACCGUGGCACGGCCUACCUACUCCAUGGCCAGAUGGGCCCGCACCACUUUCAGGAGGGAGGCUUUCUGAUUGGCACGCUGUCCAAGUCCCGCCUCAAGGGCUCAGAGCUCCGCCUCCAACAGCACUUCCGCUGGGUAACGCUGCGCUGGGACUCGGAGCCGCUGCACGGCCUUCUGGGAAGGCACCUCCGCAGGAAGCUGCUCCACAAGACGCAGGGUGGUGGCAGUGGUCAGGCUCCUGAGGGCCUGCUGGAGAGGACGGUGUGCUGGGUGAGCUGUGUGUGGCAGCAGCUGAAUGCCUGUCUGUCCCGCCUGGGGACCCACGAGGCCCUGCUAGGACCCCAGCUAUUCCUCUCCUGCCCCGUGGUGCCAAACAACACACAGGCCAUCGUCAAGUGGCUGGCCCGGCUGUGGAACAUGGUGGUGGUCCCUCGCGUGGAAGAAUCCAUUGUCUCCCGGGUGACGGUAAAGCGCUCCUCCGGCCAGCGAGUGUCGCCUAACAACCUGCGCCUGAGCUCGGGCCAGCAGGCAGUGGUCAAGGCUGCCCUCAGCAUCCUGUUAAACAAGGCCGUCCUGCAGGGAUGCCCACUGCCACGUCACGAGAUUGAUAGGCACCUGUUGGAGUUCCAAGGCGGCACCUUCCCCCUCGCAGCCAUUGGCUCCUGUAAAGGAAGUGGUGGCAGGAAGGGGCGGGACAGCGGCAUGUGGAGACGAGCUAAUACCAGCCCACGGAAGAAGGGGAGCCCCACCUCCAACUGGACCUGUGGAGGUUCCCUCAGAGAAGGGUCAUUGUCCAACACGGAUGUCCGCUUUAUCACCAACGGCAACGCUCCAAGCCUCUAGGAAACGUGAUAGAAUAGAGUAUUGCUGAGAGCAUCCAGCAGGGUGUUGUAGAUGGGGACCCUGUGAGUCUGUCUCUCUGCUCUGACGAUGAGACUGAUCUGAUCAGGGAGCUGCAGACCAUGUGCUCCAGCAAGUCAGAGCCAGACAUCAGCAAGAUUGCUCGGUCCAAGGGAGACUUCAUUGUCUUCUCUGGCUCUCCAAGUGGACAAUCGCCCCGCCGGAAGACCGACCAUGAAGCAACCGCUCGACCACAGACGACCGGCAGCCGUCACUCUACUCCCAGCACCGCCCCAGGCAGCCCCGCCCCUAGCAACGAGAGGCGACCAGCGUCGCGGCCCAAAUCUCAGCUCCCCGUCCCCAGCAGCAGGGGGCCGCAGCCACGAGCCAACAGCAGCAGUGCCGCACCACGAACACCCACUAUGACCGCUAACCGCAACGCGGCCAGAACUGAACCAAGCAGCAGCAAAACAAGGCAGGCCCCAACCAGACAUAACAACCACGUCAACGAGAACAGCCAACAACACGAGGACAUUUGGAUCCUACACCGAGACCUGCAUGAAAACAACAACAAUACAAAGUAGUAGAUGAACUUCCUCCUCUUCCACCUCCCUUCCUUUCCUCCCACCCCUCCGCUGUUGUAUCCCUCCAUGUUGUAGUUAGGCUUAUGACGGCCUUUUAGUAUUUGUACUUGUUAUCCGUACUUGUUAAACUGUAUAGCAAUUGUGUACUUGGGGACCAUAGUUUUAUGAUAUUAUACAGUAUUGAAAGAAGUUUUGAAAAAAACAUUUUGCAGGGAAUUAUGUCAAAAGGAAAAAGACAGGAUUUACCUUUUGCGGUGAGUGUUUUGGAUCAAAGAAAAGCAGGCAGGUUGUUUUUGCAAUUAGGUAUUUUCUAAUAUUCAAGUGUUUUAUGUUUAAAUAGUUGCAAGGUUGGUUUAAAUACUGUUGAAAUUAAUCAGGGUUUUACCAAAUAUUUGUAAAUAAGAAUGAGUAACUUUAAUGGUAUAUAGAUUGGUGUAUGUGGUAUUAUGCUUGUACAGUAAGAACUCAAAAACAAAAGCUGAAGAAAAAAAAAACAUGUACAUAUGUUUGUAAUGAUAAUAACAUGCGAAUUCGGUUCAGAACUUUUCACUUGUUUCAAAGUGAAUGGAAUGUGGCAAUAAGUAAAUGUAAUUGCAAACACAGGACAUUUUUUGUUUUGCUUUUUGACGUUAAGCCAUAAAUAAAUACUUUAAACUACCCACAAUUCUGCCCACGAGUCAUGGUUCGAUUAAUCCAAUACACUGAUACAAAUUUCAAAGCAGCAUGGUUUGUUCGCUUUAUUUUGUUCAACAUGGUUUUUUUUUUUUUAUGAAAAGUGUUAUUUUGAAUGGCCAUUGUUGAUAAAUGUACAGGAGAUAUUUUUGUCAACCUUUGGUGUUGAUCUGUAUGAUGUAAUGUCCUGCCUCCUUUAAGAACAAAACAUUAAAACCGCACUGUUAACCCCAA